GGUGAUGGAUCUCGGAUGAGGAUGUCGGCAUUGAGCAUGCGCAGCAUGCGACUGCUGGUGGCGAUGUGCACGGGGAGAGAGGCCGGAAAAAAUGGAGUUAGGUUUGGGCUGGGGGACGGUUGUUCUUGGCGGAUCAGAUGGCGGAGGCGCGGGGCGCAACGACAGACGAUGUUGAUUUGAUUGGUAUAGAUGGACGAUCGAGAUUCGCGCGAGGCAGAACCAGAUGUUGACAGGCUACCCCUUGCAGCCUUAAUAUAGUUGGCCAAACAUUAUUCUAUAGGGUUAAUACCAGCUACCUUGUUCUAUAAGCUAUGGUCAUGUGGGGAAAUGGUAGGCGAAUGGAAUUUGUUGAGGAUGCAACAAUUCUUCAAAGGAACUUUGUGAUUGAUCUAUUAAGUUACGAGGACAAUUCAUGCCGCUAUGUCAUCCCUGCAAACAUACAACAGAGACUUAUCAAUAUCUCUACAAAGGAAUAGAUUAGUGUACGAUUAUCGAUAUAUUGUUUGUUUUCAUAUAAUUGUUGUGCACUUGCGUUUUAUUAAUAAUUUGUGAGUUGUCGCAA